AGUGGGAUAACUGGGACAAAUGGUAGAAUGAGGAAUCUCCAGGCUGUUUUCCAUAAUGGUUGCACCAAUUUGCAGUCCCACCAGCAAU
rnacentral:miRNA from 1 species